AGAGCGAACGCUGGCGGCAUGCUUAACACAUGCAAGUCGCACGGGCAGGCUUCGGCUUGUCAGUGGCGGACGGGUGAGUAACGCGUAGGUAUCUAUCCAUGGGUGGGGGAUAACGCUGGGAAACUGGUGCUAAUACCGCAUGACACCUGAGGGUCAAAGGCGCAAGUCGCCUGUGGAGGAGCCUUCGUCCGAUUAGCUAGUUGGUGGGGUAAAGGCCUACCAAGGCGACGAUCGGUAGCUGGUCUGAGAGGAUGAUCAGCCACAUUGGGACUGAGACACGGCCCAAACUCCUACGGGAGGCAGCAGUGGGGAAUAUUGGACAAUGGGCGCAAGCCUGAUCCAGCCAUGCCGCGUAGGAUGAUGAAGGCCUUAGGGUUGUAAAGUCCUUUUAACGGGAAGAUAAUGACGGUACCCGUAGAAUAAGCCCGGCUAACUUCGUGCCAGCAGCCGC
rnacentral:rRNA from 1 species